CAUUGAAGGAGAGUGAAAACGCGGUGGAUCGCCCGCUUGCGCUUGUUCGGGGAGACAGACUCGUGGAGGGCUCUCUUCCAAUCCAGCGGCAUUUUGCAUACUGUUGGUCUGGUCUUCUGUCACGGACAGAAGAGAGAGACAACAGGGAAUACAGGUAAGUAGAUGUUUAAUGAGAUAUAGGAGAUAGAAGCAGGUAUUACGUGAUCAGGACACUGAGGACAGACGGUGGCAGGUAAGCUGGAUGAUCAGACGGUAGGUUUUCAGAUGAUUCUUAGAAUGGUUCAGGAAGUAGAGUCGGUGUUUCUCAGACGAGACCAGACAGAGAGUGAAAGGAGCUGAGGGCUUAUGAAGUGGCAGUGAUGAGCAGAUGCAGGUGUGGUGACUUCAGUAAUUUGGUGAUAAUGAGCGGAUGGGCGGAGUCGGGUGAUCGGACUCUGAUGGUGUGGCAGGUGUUACUGGUGGCUCCGUGACAGUAUGCUGUAAUUAAAUUAAUUAUAUAUACAAUCCAGGUUAACAGCAAGAACUUGGAUAUUUAAAGCAGCUUUAUAAAAAUGCCUUUGAUAAAACAUUAAGUUACUAGUGUGCAGCUUGAGACAAAACGUGACACUGGCAUAUUUCAAAAUGUCAUAUCACUGUAAGUUAUUUUAAACUAGAAUUUGCAUUUUAACAUCGCAUUUUACUGCAUCAUUAACUUAAGAAAUGUCUAUGAAGCCAGCUGUAAAUGUACUGUAUUAGAGGCACUAGAAGUUAAUGAAGUCCAAUAAAACUAGCUUCAAAUUGAAUUUGGAACUAAUUCCAUUCUUUGUGGCUUAAACUUGUUUUUUUUUGUUUAAUUGCCACUGUUUUCCCAUUAUUGCAUUGUCUUACCUAUACACUGACAUAUCAAAUGGACCGAACCGUAGCAGAAAUCCAGAACCUUUACCCCAACUCUGGCUACCGUAUGAUGCAUGGCCACUUGACCUCAAGAGGUGUUAAAGUAUAAGUUGAAAGAGUUCGAGAGUCCCUGCGGAGAGUGGAUCCACAGGGAACACAGCUACAAGCCUUGUCGCUAGCACAAUAAGGCGGCGACAGUAUUCCGUUCCAGCACCUAAUGCCAUGUGGCAUAUAGAUGGGAACCACAAACUAAUUAGGUAUGUUUUUAAGCAGUCCACUUUAGAAGUACAAUUUCCUGAUGAUUAAGUUACCCACCCCCACGUCAAAGAAGUUAAUGUCGUACAACCAUGCAACUGAGCACAUAAUCAGCGCUUUCCCGUGUUCAUAGGAUCACAGAACUAUCACUGUAAAUAGAACUGUCUGAAUGCACGAGUUUUAUCAGAGAUGACAAGCUUUUUUUUAACAGAUGUCCACAUGAGAAACGAGAAACUGCCUGAAUAGGAAUAGUGACAUAAUUUAUUUAAUUUAUUUAAAGUUUGCUGAUAUUUUGUUCCUUGAUUUAGAAACUUACUGGUCCGGCAACAGAAAAUACUUACAUUUUAUUUAUUUUUUUGGCUAGGUGGAGGAUAGUGGUCCAUGGAGGCAUAGAUAGCUUCAGCAGGAUGAUUGUCUACCUAAAAGCUGCUUUGAAAAACAGUGCUUCUGUUUUGCUGCACAGUUUCAUAGAAGCUGUAAAUCGCUUUGGUUUACCGAACUCCCGACACUCCCACAUCACAGGGUGCAGUGUCCAUAACCAAAGUUUUUUUUUUCACCCUUUUAUUUUUACUCAGAAAAUCAAAUGCCAUUAAGUGAUUAAAUCUCUGCAUCUAAAAUUAAGACUCUGUGGUUUUUCUUUCCCACUGUAAAGAAAUGCACGUGCUGUGGAUUGGAAAGAUUCUAUAAAUUUUAGCAUGUUCGAAAGAAAAGCAGUAGUGCCAAGUAUCUACGUUAUCACAAUAUAUUGGGCCUCUUGUCUGAUGUAGCAUUUGUUAUAAUUACAGGAUGGAGAGACUGUGGAGGGACGUUUACCAGCAAUUUUUGGACCUCUUCUCCAUUUCUCUUCCUUGAUCUGGAGGCAGAUGGCACAUUAAAUCCCGACAAUGAGGUGCAUCUUUUUGCUCUGCAUUGGGCCUGUCUGCCACAGCUGCAAAGGCAUCUCGGAUUUUUCCAGGAGGCAUGGAACAAUCACAAAAUCAGAACAGCAGGCAACCAGUCUCCACUGCAACUCUGGACAAGGUCCCAAGACAUUAAAGAUCCAUAACAGGUGGAUGAUGACUAUGGUGUAGACUGGGAAGGACCACCCUCCUGUGAGGAAGAGGGUGUGAACAUCCCAGAGGUUCAAUUACCAAGAGAACUCGCCAAUGAGGAAAUUGCAACCUUGCCUCAUCCUAAUGUUUCAUUUUUAAGUGCUGUUCAAAUUUACUAUGAGACAGUGUGGUUAACCAGUUAAUGUCAUUGUAAGAGCCAAUUUUAUAUUUCAAUCUUUUUUAUAGUAUUGGUUGCUUGAAGUGUUGAUUUUGCAAGCACUAA